UCCAAGCUGUCCAAGGGGAGGAGCAGCACUCCUCCCGGGCACAGCUCAACCGGAGCACCCCGAGCUGCAGGAAGGAGGUCGCUGCCACUCCGGCCCCAGCUUUGGCCCCCUUUCUCCCCUUAUCCCGCCCAUGCAAAUGAGGUUUGGGAGCCCCUCGGGAAGGUGUUUUGGUGAGAAAUGUUCCAACCCUGCCGUGUGCCUCAGCCUCCCUCCCGAGCCCCAGCCCCCCGGCCCCGCAGCCAACAAGUUGCGGUGGAAACAAAGGCAGUUCUCGCUUCAGAUUCCUCCCAGAUAGCAAUAUGUCAGGAGCCCCUGGAGAGGCUGAAAGUAAAUGAAUCAGUGCUAGAAAGUGAAGGAUCUCAUCCGUGCUGAAUGGUGAGAAGGAGUCCUGAGCAGCAUCUCCAUUGAUUUUCCCGUAAUUGACACCCAGCUCGGCUCGCCGGAGGCUGCGCGGGAGCGCCAGGCCCAGGACCCCUGGAAUCCCCUCUGCUGUCGGAGCAGGCCCAGCAGUGACAGAUCCCAGUGUGGCCUUAGCGGGACAGUGGGAGAGACAAGCAGGCACAGAGACCUGCCAGAGCCCCGGAUGCUCCAGGAUUUCCAGGCUCCACAA